rnacentral:rRNA from 1 species
UACGAAGGGGGCUAGCGUUGCUCGGAAUCACUGGGCGUAAAGGGCGCGUAGGCGGCCAUUCAAGUCAGAGGUGAAAGCCCAAGGCUCAACCUUGGAACUGCCUUUGAUACUGUUUGGCUUGAGACCGGUAGAGGUAAGUGGAACUGCGAGUGUAGAGGUGAAAUUCGUAGAUAUUCGCAAGAACACCAGUGGCGAAGGCGGCUUACUGGACCGGUUCUGACGCUGAGGCGCGAAAGCGUGGGGAGCAAACAGGG